UACGUAGGGUGCAAGCGUUAAUCGGAAUUACUGGGCGUAAAGCGUGCGCAGGCGGCUCCUUAAGUCAGAUGUGAAAGCCCCGGGCUUAACCUGGGAACUGCGUUUGAAACUGGGGAGCUAGAGUGUGGAAGAGGGGGGUGGAAUUCCAGGUGUAGCAGUGAAAUGCGUAGAGAUCUGGAGGAACACCGAUGGCGAAGGCAGCCCCCUGGGCUAACACUGACGCUCAUGCACGAAAGCGUGGGGAGCAAACAGG
rnacentral:rRNA from 1 species